AGGAAUGCAGCGCGUGAAGGAAAAAAAAUAUAUCAGAGCAUCCAUACACGUCAUAUAACAUGAAAUGGGACAUAAUACAUUAAUAUUGUCAGACAAGGAAAAAGUAGAUUCUAAGGAGUGAACACAUUAUUUAAAUCAGUAUAACAUUGGUAAAUUCAGACCCCUUGAAAGAGCUAAAUUCUAAGAUCUUCGAAAAAAAUACACGAGUGCAUUUGAUACUAUAUAUUCUAUGAAUUCAUCUACCGCGACUUUUGUCAUAAGCACUUUAAACUAGCUCUGCUCAAAAACAGAAUUUUCAAAGUAAAACAAAGUGAGUGGACACAACAGAUUCCGGCGAAGCUCGAUAAAGAGGAACUUGAGCACCAGCUGAUAGAAAAACUCAGACUAACCAACAAACAAUCAGCAAAGACUGAGGUCCAUACACUAACCCAAACAAUUUCUUAAUCAACAAAUGAGACAUACCAGCAACAGCAAGAAAUUGAAAACACCAUUAAAAGGCUUUAGAUAUACCUGCUUGGCAAGAUUACAAGCACGAUCUGGUGAGUUAAGGAUUUCAUAAUAGAACACUGAAAAGUUGAGAGCAAGUCCAAGCCUAAUAGGGUGGGUGGGGGCCAGGUCAGCAAGAGCAAUAUCCUGCAUCAAAAAACGCAACUUUUCAGUUCAGAAACUAGUAGCUAGUAAGUACUAACAACUAGCAUUCCAUAAGAUAAACAAUAUAUGUUACCUGAGCGGAUUUGUAAGCAAGCAAAGUACUUUCUGCAGCAUCUUUCCUCUCUGUCCCAGUCUUAAACUCAGCAAGGUACCUGUGGUAAUCACCCUUCAUUUUGAGGUAAAAGACUUUACUUUCGGGAGAUGCAGCAGAAGGGAUGAGGUUGGACUCGAGGAGGUUCAAAAUCCCAUCACAGAUCUUGCUGAGCUCGGUCUCAAUCUUUCCCCUGUACUCCUUUAUAAUAGCAACGUGGUCCUCAUUGCCUCUGCUCUCCUCCUUCUGCUCGAUGGAGGAUAUGAUCCUCCACGAAGCCCUCCUCGCCCCAAUCACGUUCUUGUAUGCCACAGAGAGAAGAUUCCUCUCCUCCACAGUCAACUCCUCAACCUCCACAGUCUUCGCAACCUUCUCCAUGAACUCAACCAUCUCCUC
rnacentral:lncRNA from 1 species